GGUAUAGUGACACAGUAACAGAGGGAUUGAGGGCUUGCUCAGUGAGUUACAUGUUAGAGGGAGUGGGGUAUAGUGACACACUAACAGAGGGAUUGAGGGCCCUGCUCAGUGAGUUUACAUGCUAGAGGGAGUGGGGUAUAGUGACACAGUAACAGAGGGAUUGAGGGCCUGCUCAGUGAGUUUACAUGCUAGAGGGAGUGGGGUAUAGUGACACAGUAACAGAGGGAUUGAGGGUCCUGCUCAGUGAGUUUACAUGUUAGAGGGAGUGGGGUAUAGUGACACAGUAACAGAGGGAUUGAGGGCCUGCUCAGUGAGUUUACAUGUUAGAGGGAGUAGGGUAUAGUGACACAGUAACAGAGGGAUUGAGGGCCUGCUCAGUGAGUUUACAUGUUAGAGGGAGUGGGGUAUAGUGACACAGGAACAGAGGGAUUGAGGCCUGCUCAGUGAGUUUACAUGCUAGAGGGAGUGGGGUAUAGUGACAGUAACAGAGGGAUUGAGGGCCCUGCUCAGUGAGUUUACAUGUUAGAGGGAGUGGGGUAUAGUGACACAGUAACAGAGGGAUUGAG